ACUGCCACGUCACUAAUUCGAUGACGUGGCAAUCACUACCACACAUGAAAUUCCAAUUUUGCCCUUAAGAAGAGGACAAAUAUUGAAGAAAGAAUUGGAAACUCAGGGGUAAAAUUGGAAUUUCAUGUAUGGCAGUGAUUGCCACGUCAUCAAAUUAGUGACAUGCCAG
rnacentral:pre_miRNA from 1 species